rnacentral:rRNA from 1 species
CCUACGGGCGGCAGCAGUGAGGAAUCUUGGUCAAUGGGCGCGAGCCUGAACCAGCCAAGUCGCGUGAGGGAAGACGGUCCUCUGGAUUGUAAACCCCUUUUGUCGGGGAGCAAAAGACGCCACGCGUGGCGUUCCGAGAGUACCCGAAGAAAAAGCAACGGCUAACGCCGUGCCAUCAGCCGCGGUAAGACGGAGGAUGCGGGCGUUAUACGGAUUGAUUGGGAUAAAAGGGUGCGCAGGCGGAAGAUCAAGUCAGCGGUAAAAUUGAGAGGAUCAAGCUCUGAGAGCCGUUGAAACUGGUUUUCUUGAGUGAGAGAGAAGUAUGCGGAAUGCGGGGUGUAGCGGUGAAAUGCAUAGAUAUCACGCAGAACUACGAUUGCGAAGGCAGCAUACCGGCGCUCAACUGACGCUCAUGCACGAAAGUGUGGGUAUCGAACAGGAUUAGAUACCCGAAGUC